UAAGACGAACCGUCUAAACGUUAUUCGGAAUCACUGGGCUUAAAGGGUGCGUAGGCGGCGCGGAAAGUUGGGUGUGAAAUCCCUCGGCUCAACCGAGGAACUGCGCCCAAAACUACCGUGCUCGAGGGAGAUAGAGGUGAGCGGAACUUAGGGUGGAGCGGUGAAAUGCGUUGAUAUCCUAAGGAACACCGGUGGCGAAAGCGGCUCACUGGAUCUUUUCUGACGCUGAUGCACGAAAGCCAGGGGAGCGAACGGGAUUAGAUACCCCGGUAGUCCUGGCUGUAAACGAUGAGCACUUGGUCGGAGGCUCCUCCAUAGGCUUCUGGCCGUAGCGAAAGUGUUAAGUGCUCCGCCUGGGGAGUAUGGUCGCAAGGCUG
rnacentral:rRNA from 1 species